AACGAACGCUGGCGGCAGGCUUAACACAUGCAAGUCGAGCGCCCCGCAAGGGGAGCGGCAGACGGGUGAGUAACACGUGGGAAUCUACCCAUCCCUACGGAACAACUCCGGGAAACUGGAGCUAAUACCGUAUACGCCCUUUGGGGGAAAGAUUUAUCGGGGAUGGAUGAGCCCGCGUCGGAUUAGCUAGUUGGUGGGGUAAAGGCCUACCAAGGCGACGAUCCGUAGCUGGUCUGAGAGGUUGAUCAGCCACACUGGGACUGAGACACGGCCCAGACUCCUACGGGAGGCAGCAGUGGGGAAUAUUGGACAAUGGGCGCAAGCCUGAUCCAGCCAUGCCGCGUGAGUGAUGAAGGCCUUAGGGUUGUAAAGCUCUUUCGCCAGGGACGAUAAUGACGGUACCUGGAUAAGAAGCCCCGGCUAACUCCGUGCCAGCCGCCGCCGUAAUAC
rnacentral:rRNA from 1 species